CAAGAAGUAGUUUAUAUAAAAUAUUAGCUUUGGGAGUUAAUGAAAAAGAAUUUCUUUUUUCUUGA
rnacentral:tRNA from 1 species